rnacentral:tRNA from 1 species
GGAGAGGUACCCAAGAGGCUGAAGGGGCGGGAUUGCUAAUCCUGUAGUAGGGGGCAACCUCUAGCGAGAGUUCGAAUCUCUCCCUCUCCGCCA